UCUUUUUACAUUACAAGUCUUCACUUGAUCUUCUCGCUCAGUCACAUUCUGAAUGACACUUCAUCUGGAUACCGUCAGCUUGAUCUUUACGGGAUCCUUAAGUUCUUCUAACUUUGUUCGCUGAAAAUUGUUUUUCAUUUAAAACAAAAGUGAGCAUUCAAUUGCCCAACAAGUCAUAACAGUUGAACAAACAACUUCAGAAUUAAAACAUAUCUUUAGAACUUCUAUAACCGAACAAAGGUUAUGAAGCAGCUUGAAUAAUAGGAAUAGUCUUGAUUCCUAUCAUCUUAAAACAUCAGUCAUUUUUACUUUGAAAUACUUUCAUUCUUCUACCUUUUUCAUACACAUCCUAUCUGGCUAGAAUCAUUAGCACAAACUUAACAAUAACAGUUCAUGUAUAAACAGAACAUACUUGUAUUGAAAAGCUCAAUCACAGAACAAUGCAUAGCAUAGAAACACCGAAGUGUUCAAAUUGUGGCACAAGGCCUCAUACAUACUAUCACCUUGUACAUACAUCGCACAUAUACACAUAGACAAGACUUCUCAAGUACAACAUGUGAGAAGUUUAAGAAACUAGCAUUCAUGUAAUAUGAAUGAAGUUAGGAAACUUGCCUUACGCCCAGCUACAGUAUACGCUGAACUGCUCAUUUCAAUUCCUAUAUAACACAUAAGGAGAAAACAUAAACACCAAUUAGUCAUAUAUUGAACUUACGCAUUGGUUUAGUUAACUUUACUUCUUAGGGUUCGCCUUCUUUGCAUUAUAAGUUUACGCGACUAACUUCCUUUACCAGUUUACGGCUUCAUGACAUACGGAGAUGUCUUACUCAAAACGUUCAUCAUCUUUGAUGAUUUACAUUCUUCUCUAACUCACAUUCGGCUUUCAUUAAUCUUAUUACCGUUCAUUACGACUUCCUUGAUAAUUCAUAUACUAUUUAAUACUUUCUUUAUCCAUUACAUGAACCUCAGGUUCAUUUCCCUCGUCGCUCAACCUCUAAGGAAUCACAACCAUAGCAAUCCAUCACGUUCGUUAAUCGCGACUACGGUCCCCAGAUAUCGGUUACGUAACCCGCGUUUAUAUUCUUUAUCAAUUAAUCUUGCUUAAUCUUUAUGAUCAACCUUUAAUAAAGGUUUAUAUUACUUUAUUAAGUGUUACAUUAGUUGAAUAUUAUAUUCUUUAUCUUCCCUUACAUUUCCCCCAAGACCUGAGCAGUUCAAAGCUCAUCUCUGGCUUUUUCCCAACACUGGCGCUGCGGCGCCACUCCCUUCUUUAUCUCUCGCGCCGCGACGCGAGUUGGCAGUACCCGGUCCCCAGUCUAGCACUGCCACGCCACUCUACAAGGCAUGACUGGCUCCGCGGAGCCAAGCCCUAACCCUAGAAAAUUUCUCUAAGUGUUAAAUAAAUUUUGAGAUGCUUACUUCGCGAUCUCAUAACUCCUUCGUUAUAACUCAGAACGAGGUCAUUCCAAAGCCAUUCUCUUCCUUAUCUAACAUACUUAAAUACCCCUCAGACAGAACUUCAUUCUAAAUCAGUUAACGUGCCAUUCAAUUGGCUUGAUCUUCACCCUUUAUUCAUUUUUACGCUUUUAAUGUUCUUCGCUCGUUCGUCCGUAAUUCGGUCAUCCGAACUCAGAACUCGUUCGUUCUUGAGUCCAUGACUCACGUUUUCUACGUUUUCUUACUUUCUUAUGAAACCCUACACGUUCGGGUUCAUUUACUAACUUUCUAAUUCUCGUUCGUCUUUUACAAAAUUUUCGCCAAAACUUCGUUAUAGUUAAGUUUUAAUCUAUUCUUCAUGAACGUUUCUACCGUUCCUAACCAAGAAAUAUGCAAAUAAGUUAUACGCGAUGGUUUUAAACUUGUCCAUCAACAACAAUUAAACUACGAUGGUUUUAAAUUUGUCCAUCAACAACGUUCUUCAUGUUCUUCGCGUGUUCUUCGUGUUCUUCGUUCGUUCUUCAUUUUAAUCGAUAUUUUGGAUUAUGAUUUCACUUUAUAUUGGAAUUUGAUGUUAUAGAACAUCAUUCCUUACUUAUUUCACCUACUUAUUCAUAUAAUCCACUCAGAUCGUUCUAAUUCAUUACGAAUCUUAUACUUCCUUAAGAAAUUUAUUUACUAAACUUUAAAUUCUUAUUUCUUCAUUUUCUUAUGAUUUCAACCAUAUGAACUCAUUUAUCACCUUAUCUACUUCUUAUCUUCAUUAAGUUAUAUUUUUAAACAUAAAAACUUAAAGAAAAUUUAUAAAAGACUAGGUUUCGGAUUACCGUUCUUCUUUAUUUUUCUUCCGCUAGACAAAGCCGGCGAUUUACUAGCUUUUCUAUUUCACGAACACUUUCGAUCCGAUCAUUCAUGUUCAUGUUCCUUCUCCCUCUUCAUCUGAACCCUCUCUCUCUCUA
rnacentral:lncRNA from 1 species